rnacentral:rRNA from 1 species
GAGUAACGCGUGGGUAACCUGCCUUGUACUGGGGGACAACAGUUGGAAACGACUGCUAAUACCGCAUAAGCGCACAGCUUCGCAUGAAGCAGUGUGAAAAACUCCGGUGGUACAAGAUGGACACGCGUCUGAUUAGCUGGUUGGUGAGGUAACGGCCCACCAAGGCGACGAUCAGUAGCCGGCCUGAGAGGGUGAACGGCCACAUUGGGACUGAGACACGGCCCAAACUCCUACGGGAGGCCAGCAUG